rnacentral:lncRNA from 1 species
GCAGGGUCAGAAUCAUUACUCCAUUUUACGGAUGCCGGAUGUCUUCUCAGCUAAUCCUCCCAUCCAAUCCUCUGGGAAGCCUUUCAGGAUGCCCCACCCCGACUUAUCGCUGCCUUCUCUGAACUGCCAGCAAUGGACCUCAGUGGGGCGGAGGAUCAGCUUUCAUCUCCUUGCAGACACCUGGGGUGCUCCCAUGAGUUCCCAGCCUUUUUUCCACCCCCACCUUGCACAGAGGCCUCCCCCACAGGAGAGAGUGAGAUGAGGGAACAAAGGUGGCAGAACUUGCACAAUCCUGCAGCUAAGAAGUAGAGGAGCAGAGAUCUGAACCAAGAGACAGUCCUCAAGGCUUGUGCUCCCAAGCACGUCCCUCCACUACCUCCCUUCACGAUACUCAGUGGCACGGGUUAGGACGCCAGGCAUGGAUGAUGUGCCCACUGACCUCAGGCCUUGAAUAACAAGGAUUUCACUGCACGUAGAAGUAGGGGUAGGGCACAGCCAAGCAGAGAAGAAACUCAUUGGAAAACAGUCAGUGAUGCCAUGUGGCAGGAAGCACUCCAAGGCUGGGGAGUAUGGAAAGGCCCCUAUCAAGGAGGCAGAAGUCUUCCUAGAAGAUCUGAAGAAUGACAGGAA